CCUCCUUAUCUCUUCCACCCAGCCAGGCCAGGUUCACAGUCCACAGUCAACACUACACUCCACAGCCAGGCAAAGCACCGACGCACGCGCCCCUUCUCUUCCCUCUCCGUGGCGGCAUGGCGGCGUGCCCCCUCCUCCCGCUGCUCCAGCUCUAGCCCUCCCUCCACAACAUCCUGGACAUGGAUCCUCUACCUUUGGCUCGCCGGAGCAAUGGGGCCACCAGACUGCCAGCGAUGAGUCCGGGGGCAUCCAGAUCCAGCGCCACCUCACCCAUGGCAGCUGCUCCGGUGCGACGAUGGCCAGGGGCCGCGCUGCCCUCCUCAUCCCUCCACUGGUUAGUGAAGAAGUUGGGUGAAGAAGGACCCGGGCAAGACUUACAUGCUAGCUGCCUCUCCAUGGCGGAGAACUUGGAGCUUCUAACUGGUAGCUCGGAUUUGAUUUCUAGUGUAGCUAGUGACUAAGACAUACUCCAUCCGUUUCACGAUAACCAAGUGGAGAUAAAAUUCUUGUUUUAUCUAUAUGAUGCAAUUCCUUUCCUUGAGGAUUGCUUCCAUGAGCCACCCAGUACAACACAACUAAAAUCAUAUGGAAAGAUUGGAGCCAUGUUCCAAGAAGUCAUUCCAAAAUUGCAAUGUCUGUUCCAGUACUGAACCAAUCCAGCUCGGCUCCAUUUCAAGCCAUCAUAGGCAUCACCUCAAAGACAUUCUACUCACUGCAAAGCCAGGGAGCCAUUUCUUUCUCUCAAGUUGGCAUGCGUUCCUUUUUCUUAGUUAAAUCAUAAAUUAACAGGCCCAACUUAAUUAUCAUGGAAUAAGCCACAGCAAUUUUACCCACCUAAGGUCACUCUGUGCAUUCAUUUCAGGACAAUGACAAGCAUUGGGAUAGACAAGGCAGUAGAUUCUCAAUCAAUUGGUGCUGUCUAGUAGGUGAAGAGUGACACCGAAGCAGUCACUUGGGUGUAGGGAUGGAUGCCGAGCCAGCUCGGCUCGGCUCGGCUCGACUUGCUCUAGCUCGUUUAGAUAACGAGCUGGCUCGGCUCGGCUCAUUAUCUAAACGAGCAGAAAACGCAGCUCGGCUCGGCUCGGUCAGUAGCUCGAGCUAGCUCGUUUCGGCUCGCGAGCUGGAGAGGGCAAGAUAUCAGACAUCAAGAUUAGAAGAGCUAGGACAACGGAACGUGAGCCGACGAGCGGCCUGCAGCGGCGAGGACGAGCACGACGGUCGACGGCAAGGCAGACAGGCAGACCGCAGCGGCGAGUUCGAGUGCGAUGACCGACGACACAAAAAUCUGCGGUGCCAAGGUGACAGCGCACGCGACGGCCAAGCUGGGGCAACGCCGCGACGACCGACGGUGCUGCAGCCCUCAGCGCAGAUUGGCAGAUGGUCGCGACAGGGAGGUGGCGAUGGCGCAAGCACUAGAGACCGGGAAGGAAGGGGCAGCGCGGCGUGGCUGCGAGGUGCAUGCUGGGCGAUGAGCGGCAGACUGGCGGCGGAUAGGCAGAGUGAAAAGGAGAGAUCGAGACUCUCGAGAGGCAGGAUUUGCAAGUCAACUGGCUCAUCUUCAUAUUAUUUGAGGUGUUGUCGGACUGCCUGCAAUGCCAUUCGUCAACUCUUUUCUCGUUUCCCUACCUCCUUGGUUAUCUAACCUUAAGAAGUAAUAUUCAAAUUUCAUCUCAGUUGUAGAUGUCUAUGAGAUUGGCAUUGCUAUUGUAAUUCACAUUAGAUUGUUGUCAAAUCGAUUAAUUGAACGUGGAUGUCAAUGCAUUGGAAUCCAUUCUUCCAUUGUAUGUGUGAUCGCCUAUGAUGUGUUAUUAAGCUCCUACUAUUCUGGUGUAAGCAAAUAAUAUAAAUGUAUCAGCAAACCCAUUUUAGUUUUGCCCUCAA